UACAGAGGGGGCAAGCGUUGUUCGGAAUUACUGGGCGUAAAGGGCGCGUAGGCGGCCUUCUAAGUCGAACGUGAAAUCCCCGGGCUCAACCCGGGAACUGCGUCCGAUACUGGAAGGCUUGAAUCCGGGAGAGGGAUGCGGAAUUCCAGGUGUAGCGGUGAAAUGCGUAGAUAUCUGGAGGAACACCGGUGGCGAAGGCGGCAUCCUGGACCGACACUGACGCUGAGGCGCGAAAGCUAGGGGAGCAAACGGG
rnacentral:rRNA from 1 species